rnacentral:rRNA from 1 species
GAUGAACGCUGGCGGCGUGCCUAAUACAUGCAAGUAGAACGCUGAAGGAGGAGCUUGCUCUUCUGGAUGAGUUGCGAACGGGUGAGUAACGCGUAGGUAACCUGCCUGGUAGCGGGGGAUAACUAUUGGAAACGAUAGCUAAUACCGCAUGACAACAGUUAUUGCAUGAUAACUGUUUAAAAGGGGCAACUGCUCCACUACCAGAUGGACCUGCGUUGUAUUAGCUAGUUGGUGAGGUAACGGCUCACCAAGGCGACGAUACAUAGCCGACCUGAGAGGGUGAUCGGCCACACUGGGACUGAGACACGGCCCAGACUCCUACGGGAGGCAGCAGUAGGGAAUCUUCAGCAAUGGACGGAAGUCUGAACGAGCAACGCCGCGUGAGUGAAGAAGGUUUUCGGAUCGUAAAGCUCUGUUGUAAGAGAAGAACGAGUGUGAGAGUGGAAAGUUCACACUGUGACGGUAGCUUACCAGAAAGGGACGGCUAACUACGUG